GUGGGGAAUCUUCCGCAAUGGACGAAAGUCUGACGGAGCAACGCCGCGUGAGUGAAGAAGGUUUUCGGAUCGUAAAGCUCUUUCGUUAGGGACGAACGUGCUCUUUGUGAAUAAUGAGGAGUAAUGACGGUACCUAAAUAAGAAGCCACGGCUAACUACGUGCCAGCAGCCGCGGUAAUACGUAGGUGGCAAGCGUUGUCCGGAAUUAUUGGGCGUAAAGCGCGCGCAGGCGGGAUAUCAAGUCUGUCUUAAAAGUGCGAGGCUCAACCUCGUGAGGGGACAGAAACUGGUAUUCUUGAGUGUCGGAGAGGAAAGUGGAAUUCCAAGUGUAGCGGUAAAAUGCGUAGAGAUUUGGAAGAACACCAGUGGCGAAGGCGACUUUCUGGACGAUGUCUGACGCUGAGGCGCGAAAGCUAGGGGAGCGAACGGGAUUAGAUACCCCAGUAGUCC
rnacentral:rRNA from 1 species